UACGAAGGGUGCAAGCGUUAAUCGGAAUUACUGGGCGUAAAGCGUGCGUAGGCGGUUUGUUAAGUCUGUUGUGAAAGCCCCGGGCUCAACCUGGGAAUGGCAAUGGAUACUGGCAAGCUAGAGUGUGAUAGAGGAUGGUGGAAUUCCCGGUGUAGCGGUGAAAUGCGUAGAGAUCGGGAGGAACAUCAGUGGCGAAGGCGGCCAUCUGGAUCAACACUGACGCUGAGGCACGAAAGCGUGGGGAGCAAACAGG
rnacentral:rRNA from 1 species